rnacentral:rRNA from 1 species
UACAGAGGUCUCAACCGUUGUUCGGAUUUACUGGGCGUAAAGCGCGCGUAGGCGGCUUUGUUUGUUAGAGGUGAAAGCCCGGAGCUCAACUCCGGAACUGCCUUUAAGACUGCAUCGCUAGAACGUCGGAGAGGUAAGUGGAAUUCCGAGUGUAGAGGUGAAAUUCGUAGAUAUUCGGAAGAACACCAGUGGCGAAGGCGGCAUCCUGGACCGAGAUUGACGCUGAUGAGCGAAAGCUAGGGGAGCAAACGGG